rnacentral:rRNA from 1 species
AUUGAACGCUGGCGGCAGGCUUAACACAUGCAAGUCGAGCGGGGUGAUGGUGCUUGCACUAUCACUUAGCGGCGGACGGGUGAGUAAUGCUUAGGAAUCUGCCUAUUAGUGGGGGACAACAUCUCGAAAGGGAUGCUAAUACCGCAUACGUCCUACGAGAGAAAGCAGGGGAUCACUUGUGACCUUGCGCUAAUAGAUGAGCCUAAGUGGGAUUAGCUAGUUGGUGGGGUAAAGGACUACCAAGGCGACGAUCUGUAGCGGGUCUGAGAGGAUGAUCCGCCACACUGGGACUGAGACACGGCCCAAACUCCUACGGGAGGCAGCAGUGGGGAAUAUUGGACAAUGGGGGGAACCCUGAUCCAGCCAUGCCGCGUGUGUGAAGAAGGCCUUAUGGUUGUAAAGCACUUUAAGCGAGGAGGAGGCUCUUUUGGUUAAUACCCAAGAUGAGUGGACGUUACUCGCAGAAUAAGCACCGGCUAACUCUGUGCCAGCCGCCGCCGUAA